rnacentral:lncRNA from 1 species
CUAGCUACUAGACUAGCACCACCCUAGGAAAACAAAACUUUGCUGAGGCCCACCAGCUCCCCUGAUCUGAGUAAGCUCAAUGUAGCUGCUGAAAAAUAACCAGAAGCCUAUGGGCUCAUUUGCUGGGGCCUGAGUUUAGACUGAGAAGAGGUUUAAUAACCAAAACUACAGGGAACAGAUGGCAACUAUUUCUGAUUCUUUGGUCUAAAAUUUGGAGCAUAGAUUCUACUUGAAUUAAGGUUUGGUCUGUUAGGGUGACUCAAAGAAAAUGCUCUUAAGGUAGGCGAAUUGCCUGAGCUCAGGAAUUCGAGACCAGCCUAGCCAACAUGGUAAAACCCCAUGCCUACUAAAAAUACAAAAAUUAGCCAGGUGUGGUGGCAGGCACCUGUAGUCCCAGCUACUCAGGAAGCUGAGGCACAAAAGUCACUUGAACUGGGGAGGUAGAAGUUGCAGUGAGCUGAUAUCGCGCCACUGUCCUCCCGCCUGGGCGACAGAGUGAGACUCCAUCUCAAAAAAGAAAAAAAAAGAAAUGCUCCCCACCGUUUCCAGAAAGGCUGAAUGCUGACUGAGGAGAGCGGCCAAGAGAGGCUACCCCACAUCACUAUACUCUGUUUCAAGGCUGGGACUGGGAGGAUCCACCUCUGUGCAGCAGGUGGGACCAACAUACAUAAGCAUCGUCGCUGUUCUGGAUCGUGUGGUGUCUCUGGAGGGCCCGGGGCCUGUGGUGCUCAUGGACGGAGGGGCGUGCUGGGUACCCGAGCCCAUUGUGAUCCGGCAGCUCCACUGCUUGUCCUGGAGAACUUCUAUCCAUGCAGUUCCCUAUGACAGGCUCUGAGGAGACACAGCAGAAUAGAGUCAGUGGGGCGGAACUUCUCCCAGCACUGGAAACUCCCAUCCAAGAAAUGUCUUGCAAGGGACAAUGGGCAAGGCUGAGGAGAUCAUGUACACCAACCGCUGAUCCUCAGCCGGCGUCAUGGCUUAGAGGAGCCUGGACCAGCCCUCCAAAAGACGAGCUGUAGGGGAGGGGACCACACCCUUAGGGAAAAAAUUCCACGUAACAGGGCAUGGCUGGACCCCACCGAACCUUCUCUUCUUUCAUUUCUCUGUUGAAUUAACAGUGAUCUAUUCCCAAACCUAAAUGCACAUGAGAAUUACUCUCGGAGCUUUCAGGACCCUCUAGCCCUAGAGGAUGCAUCUGUUCUGUGGCUGGCUGCGUCCUCUCUCCUCCCCCGGUGACCUCAGUGUACCACGCUGCUACUCUCCUCUUUCUACUUCUCUAACUGCUGCUUCUGACUCCUUUGAUGGCCCCUCCACCCUUUCUAAGCAAGUACUCUCCACAUUUUUGUCCUUGACCUUCUCUCUCCCCACACUUACUCUGGCAACAUCAUCUAUUUUCAUGGCUGUACUGCCUUUAUGUAAAGAAUUACUGAAGUGCUCCUUUAAGCCCCAGAUCCAUACUUCCAGCUACUUACUAGGUAUCUUUCCCUGGAUAUCUAACCAGCAUGUAACACUUACCAUGUCCAAUUCCAAACCCAUCCACUUCCCCCAUAACCUGCUACUCCUUCAGACAUUGUCGUUUUGAUGCCUCAUUUUCCAAAUCUUCCAGGCAUAAGCUCUUGGGGCCACUAUUGAUUCCUUACUCCUGGUGCUGAAUCUAACUCUGCAAUGCUGGUCACUUCAGUCCCUUUGUUGCCAAUCUCAUGGAAACCUGAUUACCUCUUGCCUGGAUUAUUAUGCUAGCCUCAUAACCAAUCCCCUACUACUACCCUACAAAGACCAACCGUUCUGUAGUCCAUUCACUUUCAUUUUACAACACUGCCCUGGGCUAUCUUCCAAUCAGUGUCUCAUAUUCCCCUCUCCAUACAUUCUAAGCUCUAGUCAAAUGGGACCACUUAACUGUUCCCCAUCUAUGCACAAUUCUAUGCAUUUGCCCUCACUGUUCCUUCUAUCUGCAAAUAACUGAUUCUUCUGCCUUCACUCCUGCCAAUCCAAAGCAACUCAUCAUUCUACAUCCAUUAUCAUAUGCUAUUGUUUUUAUUAAACUUUUCCUUUCAAACAGAAAUAGAUCAUCUCUUCCUUUAAACUUCAAAAGACUUUGUCUCUGAUUGCUCUAACAUUAUCCUUGGUACCAUGUUCAAUUAUGUACUUAAUCAUUCACAUUAGACUAUAAAUUCUUUGCAGGCAAGAACUAUAUCUCAUGUAUGUCUGUGAAUCUUCAGUGUUCUAGAACAUUGUCCUAUACCCAGUAUUAUGAUCUCUUUCACUGAUGUCAGUAAAUGCUCUUUAGGCCGGGUGCGUGUAAUCCCAGCAUUUUGGGAGGCCGGGGCGGGUGGAUCACCUGAGGUCAGGAGUUUGAGACCAGCCUGGCCAACAUGGUGAAACCCCACCUCUACUAAAAUUACAAAAAUUAGCUGGGUGUGGUGGUGUGCACCUGUAGUCCCAGCUACUCAGGAGGCUGAGGCAGGGGAAUUGCUUGAACUCAGAAGGCAGAGAUUGCAGUGAGCCAAGACCAUGCCACUGCACUCCAGCCUGGGCAACAGAGUGAGACUCUAUCUCAAAAAAGAAUAAUAAAAAUAAAUACUCUCUUAAUAUGGGUUACUAUCCUGUCAGAGCAUACCAUUCUAUGGACUAGAAUUGGAGAGAAAAAGGAAUGAGUACUUCUUCUUGAUCAAGGAUAGUCAAGAAGACUAUCAAAGCCACACCUAUGUUGACAGGAUCCUCCUGGUAGCACUUUUGACUUCAGUCUUUAAAAGCCUGGGACUUGAAAAUAAGUUGUGUUUGCUUGGUUGGUUUUCUGAGUUAAAGCUUCUUGGAAACUACUGAGCUUAUCUUGGAUGAACUGACUCUUGGUGGGACUAAGUUUAAAACAAAAGCUCUUAAUAGCAAACACAGCUGUAAUGCUAACUGUGCCAUUCCAAUGAUCUAUUUAAAUAAUGAAAGUAAAGCAUACUUCUUGAAUGUUGGGUAAAGGAUUUCAGGUCUCUGUAUUUCAAUGGUUUUCUAUAAUGAUUAAGGUUAGGCUGGGACUUAGGGGCAGAGGCAGGAUGGAAAGGGAGGGGAGCUAACUGACAUGCCCAUUGCUAGUAAUGCAAGACAUUCUGGAGAAAAAUUAGAGGAGGGAGCUUCCCAGCUACCAAAGAUGAUGGCAAGUGAGAAAUCUUUUGAAAGUUCUCUGAGCAAAGAGGUAAAAGGAACAGCCAGAAGCCAACUAUUUUGCUACAGAAAGCUAAAAGCCAGCAGAGAGAAGAUAAAAGAAAACCUACACCAGGACUUGCUCUGUGGGAUUAGCCCGCCCGUCCUACCCACUCUGCCCAAUUCCUCUCAGUGGGCACUGCUCGCAUGUUGGCGCCAGGGCCAACCAAAAACCACUGGCAGGAAGUGGGGCAACAUGGUUGUGUGGGAGUGAGGAAAUGGUGAUUCUGUCUGCUUUGCCAAGAAGCAAUGCGAGCAGCCGCUUCUUACUUUUUCAAAAACCUAUAUUGUCUUCUUUGAUAACUAACAUCAUCCACUCAAUUCCUCGGGGUGCUUUUUUCCUUUAAGCCUGAUUAUAUAGUUGGAUGCAAAUCUCAUCAGUUGCAUCUCUUUGCUCUCCGCAAGGACAAACAUGAGCGCUCUCCUGUUUAAAGAUUUUUAAAACAUCAUUACUAACCAUGAGGAAACAGCAAAGCUAACAAAAUGUAUAUAGUCCUGGUUGGAGCCUUCCUGCCUCUUCUGGAGGCCUCAGUGUUUUGGUUUGUUUGCUGUGUCUUUUAAGGCUCUUUUCCUUCCCUCUCUCAGACUUGUUUUUAUCCCUGAGAAUGGGGCCUCUGCAAACCAAAACACCCACCCUCCUUUGGGCUCUGCCUUGUCUGCUGUCUUCCCCGCCUUCAGGUCUGAUGCCUGUAGGCACCAAGACAGAGCAAGCAACCACCUGACAAAUCAUGUAGGGGGCCUUCCUGACUCCCAGCCCAGAGCUCAUCCCUCAGCCAAGCUGGAGUUGAGCACAAGGGUCAUGAGCACAAGUUCUGGGGUCAGGAAGAGUUGGCCGUGAAUCCUGGCUUAGCUGCUUCCUGAGGAGCAGGAGCUCGGGCAAGUUAUCUUGCUUUGCUGGGUCUUAGUUAUCUGUACAACUGGACUGACUCCAUGGGUGUGGAGUGCUUCAUAGAGGUUACUACACUGUAAAGGCUCAAUAAAGUCUAGCAUGAUUUAUAUUCAGUUUAGAGAUGUUAUUUCUGAGUGCAUAAGGACGUGCUGAGUCAGCUGACAAAAACAAACAAGGAAAUUGAUUUAAUCACAGAACCCUGCUUGCAGAAUUAUGAGGGACAAUAUACCCAUAUGUAAAUGAACAAAUGACUCAGGGAAACUUUAAUUUCCAGGAGAAGCCUCUGAUUCAGGACAGACAAAUGUCAGUUAAAAGCCAGAUGAAAAAGAGUAUUAAUAGGAGUCAGGGGAUACCCCAGGGCUCUGUCUGCUCAAGUUUCAGUAUCAUCAGUAGGUCAAAGACCUGGAAGGGCUAGCAUCUUUCACUUGGCAGCUGUGCUUGGAGGGUGCAGAGUGGGCAAGGAGGCGUAAAGGAAAAAAUACAUGACCAGGGGAUCAGAAAACUUGAAGUCAGGACCCAGCUCCCUCACCAGCAAAGUGUUGGCAAAUCUUUCAGCUUCUCCUCAAGGUUCCUGAUCUGAAAAAUGACGGUUGUUUGGGGGCUCGAAAAGACAACACAUGUGAAAGAGUCUUUAAUCAACUGUAAAAGACCAAAUAAGUCAAGUCUGAUUUUUGGUAAGAAUGCUGACCCUGAGUCUAGAAGUCCUUUGUGACACUCUAUAAAUAAGACCCUAUCGACCAUUUUGGGGGGUACAAACAGACUAACCCACUGCCCAAGGAACAUGACAUUCAGGAUCAAAUCUUUGGCAACCCUUUAUGCCAAUUCAGCAGCUACCAAAGUCAUGGAGGAAAGAUGGUUCCCAAGAGCUACAUGCUCGAAUAUUUAUCAAACUAAAGCUAAGAGAGUGCAGAGGUGGGAUGAUCGUCCGAUCACACAAGGGGAAAAGUGCACAAAUGGACACAAUGCACGCCACCCACCUUCCCGGGGAACUUUGGGGCAACCUGCACAAUUCUCUAUUGAAUCUGUCAAUGUUGACUCGUCCUGACUCACUUACUGGGUUUUGAGAGAAAAUGGGAGCAAUAACGUGACUGCAUACUCCCCUUAAAGGUUCUGGGGUAACCCCUCCCACUCUGUCAGCAUUUUACUGCUCUAUGAGGCCUGAGUAAUAAAGCUGAGGCUGACUGAGCUCAGAGAAGAGGAUGUGGUUUUCUUUGUGAGUUCCAGUUGGUAAUCUCAUGGUGUAGAUUGGUUAUGCUGCUGUGUUUAUUUGCAAAGUCAAAAAGAUCAAGUGUGUGUACCACUAUAGAAGAAAGACAAACCUUGUUUUUCCUUCUAGGGUGGCAGGCAGGGAGAUUACGGACAGCAUGGGGCAUGUGAAAUCCUGACACUUCUACAAAUUGGGAAGAAACCUUUGGCAUGCUGCCUGCUUAGUGCUCUCACAGUGCCUGGCCUCAUACUGGCUGGUGGCAAAUCGCCAUCAAGGAAAUAGAUCCAAAUGGCAAACCUUCUUCAUCCACCAGGACCCAACCCACAGGCUACUUAUUGCUGGAAACCUACGUUGUUCCUUGGAUUGAAGUAAUCUCUCCCUCCUCUGGUGCGCCCACAGCACUUGCACCAACAGUGGGUACUCAACAGACUAGCGUGCCUGCCGAAGAAGGGGUCCUCUGACAAUCAGGGGACAAUGGGGAAUUAUGCUCUCCAGACUUUCUACACACACAAGUCACACAGGAAGGAAGGUAAAGAGAAACUAGAGAAAAUAAUUUUUGAAGAAAAACAUUUCAGGAAGUAUUGAAAGUACACGGUAACUCAGCCUGGGGCAGGGGUGGAGGGCAGCAGCACUGUUUGCUGCAGCUAUGCUCCUUCCUCAGUGCCCUGCACACCCGGGACUUGCUCGGUGAGCAUCUCUCGUGUCAGUGACAGCUAGUGUGAGUACUCUUAUGUUCAGCUGCCCCUGACUACCUCUUGACUUUGGGGACAAGUUACUUAAUCUCUGUGCCUCCGCUGUUUCACUGGUAAAUGGGAAUAAGAGUUGGUUAUUCUAGGGUUGUAGGGUUGUUGUAAGGAUUAAAUGAAUCCGUAUGUGAACAGCAUUUGGUGCCUGGCACAUGUGAGCUCAGCCGGGCGCGGUGGCUCAUGCCUGUAAUCCCAGCACUUUGGGAGGCCAAGGCGUGCGGAUCACGAGGUCAGGAGAUCGAGACCAUCCUGGCUAACACGGUGAAACCCUGUCUCUACUAAAAAUACAAAAAAUUAGCCGGGCGUGGUGGCGGGCACAUGUAGUCCCAGCUACUCGGGAGGCUGAGGCAGGAGAAUGGCGUGAGCAUUGUAGGCAGAGCUUGCAGUGAGCUGAGAUCGCACCACUGCACUCCAGCCUGGGUGACAGAGCAAGACUCCGUCUCAAAAAAAAAAAAAAAAAGAAACGUGAGCUCAUCUCCUUUUCAUGCCAACUAUAGUGUGCUAAUCUGCUGGAAGCUUCCAUUUGCAGGGGAAUCUUUUCCACAACAUCCCCAUACCAUUAUCCCACCUCUGUUAGAAAGCUCCCAGGCUGCUAAGGCAGCCUGUUCUGGAGAGUUCUUAUAAAGGUCUUCCACAGGGUGUUGAAAUUUGCUGCAACUUCUAUCUUGAUCUUGGUUCUGCCCCAUAAUAUGAACCCAGAAAAAUCUAAUCCCUUCUUCCAUCUAACAAGCGUGAUGUUUCUCUUAGUUUUUCCUCCCAAUCCUAAACACCCUCAGGUCUGUUAACCAUUCCACCUAUGAUCUGGUUCUGAAAGCUCCCACCCUCCUAUGUCUACUAAGAAUACAGCAGCCACAGGUGAACACAGUACAUCUCACUGGAGCCAAUCUCUCAGCUGGAUGACACCCAUCUGUUCAAAAGGUCAGGAUUGAAUUGGCAUUUCAGGCAACAAUUCCCCCCUAAGAGCGCAUAAUGAGUACAACCUGGCACCACCAAGGCGUUUUCACAGACACCGCUUUACAGCAAGGCCUUCUCUACUGCUCUGUGCUGCAGGACCGAAUUCCCCCUGGGGCUGAGUUUUCAGCACUGACUUUAAAUGACAGGGCAGGAGAUGCAGGUAGUUCCGGGGAGGGAAGGAUGGAAGAAACUGCUCAGUCUCAGGGUUGUACAGUUUACAGAUAAAUUGCUUUUUAUUCCCUUGGAUGGCAAUGGUGAGGAGUGGUAAAUUGCAAGAUUCCUGAUUUUGUCUAGGAUGAAUGCCGUG